AACAGUCGGUGUUGAGGUCUGGACUUCUGCAUAAGUUGUCCUUGCUGGUGAAGAAACAAUGAACAUUUACUGGGUUUCCCUCUUUAUAACUUGGUUAUCAAGUGCCUUCAGUGCAAUAGUGGUCCAAACACCAAGAACAGCAACGAAAGAGGCGGGGGAAUCCCUGACAAUCAACUGCAUCCUAACUGAUAAUAUCUGUGCUUUGCACUCCACAUCAUGGUUCCGGAAAAGCCCGGGGACAACAGAUUGGGAACGCAUAACGAUUGGCGGCCGAUAUGUUGAAUCAGUCAACUGGGGAAGCAAAUCCUUUUCCCUGCGAAUCAAUGACCUGACAGUAGAAGACAGCGGCACAUAUUACUGCAAAGCUCAAGAAAAAGAACACAGUAAUAAGUCUGAGCUUCCGCUCAUACAGAAACACCUUCAAAGCUUCAGGGGAAUGAAAUACGAAUUGUUUCACAAUUUUCACUGA